UACGUAGGGCGCAAGCGUUAUCCGGAAUCAUUGGGCGUAAAGAGCGUGUAGGCGGCUCGAUAAGUCUGCUGUGAAAGUCCAGGGCUCAACCCUGGAAGGCCGGUGGAAACUGUCGGGCUAGAGUCCGGAAGAGGCGAGUGGAAUUCCCGGUGUAGCGGUGAAAUGCGCAGAUAUCGGGAGGAACACCAAUGGCGAAGGCAGCUCGCUGGGACGGUACUGACGCUGAGACGCGAAAGCGUGGGGAGCAAACAGG
rnacentral:rRNA from 1 species